UACGGAGGGGGCGAGCGUUAUUCGGAAUUAUUGGGCGUAAAGGGCGCGUAGGCGGCCCGGUAAGUCAAAGGUGAAAUCCCUCGGCUUAACUGAGGAACUGCCUUUGAAACUGCUGGGCUUGAGUCCGGGAGGGGGUAGCGGAAUUCCCAGUGUAGCGGUGAAAUGCGUAGAUAUUGGGAGGAACACCGGUGGCGAAGGCGGCUACCUGGACCGGCACUGACGCUGAGGCGCGAAAGCGUGGGGAGCAAACAGG
rnacentral:rRNA from 1 species